rnacentral:lncRNA from 1 species
ACAAUAACUAAUCCCUGACACUAUUAAUGAUACUCUGUUAUGCCUGCAGAUGAGGACUUAGCAUAACUGUCCUCUGAGAGGCUCCACCCAGCAGCCAAUGAAAAGAGAUGCAGAGUCCCACAACCAAACGUUAGAUGGAGCUCCGGGAGUCUUACAGAAGAGUUGAGAGAAAGAUUGAGGGACCUGAAGAGGAAGGGGACUGACUCCACAGGAAGACCAACAGAGUCAACACAUCUGGACCCUUGGGGACUCCCAAAGGUUGAAUCACCAACCAAAGAGGCUGAGGAUCUAACCUGUAGAGCUACCUACAUGAUAGGUGCUGUCCACAUUGUUUUUAGAGAUAGGAUCUCUCAGUCGCAAAAGAAUCACAAAGCAGGAGAGAAGCCUGGCCAGUAAGUCCCAGGCCUCGGUCCUUACUUUUCUGUGCAGCAGCUGCUUUGGAGUCACCCCUGCUCCCUGUUUAGAAACAUAGCAGACUACCUGUACCUUUCCAGCUCUCAGAGUUCAGAGACAAGCAGGCACCAGCUGCCAACUAGCGGAUGGAAGGGCCUGGCGCCUCCUGCUACCUGGAAAUAGAAAUCUAGGGCAGGGCCGACUGUGCGUGUGGCUGAAUCAGCAAAGUGCUCCACUGCGAGGACAAUCUUGGCUGAGAUCUGGCCAGGACCCCAUGGGGCGGAGGCGCCUGAUGGCACUCAGUGAUGAUCCCUGGCGCUGCUGCUGAGAGGCCUCAGCGCCCCCACCUCUUCCGGCCGUCCGGCCCGCCUUUUCCUGUAGGAUGCGGCUGCGAUGCGUGCCCUGCGCCUGGGCUGCAAAAGGAUCAAAGACUUGAGUGGGCCGCGCGGCCUCGCCCUGCCAAGGGGGAGCAACUUGUCUAGAGACGCCUGACAGCUUGACAGGCGUGCGGGAGCGCAGUUUGGGAGCCGGCAGGGGGGGCACCCUGCCUCGCGGCACUCCCGUCCGUUGCCUCUAGAUGGCAGGCUUCGAAAUCCCUAAUUGUAAACGCCUCUCGGGCAGCCCUUAACUCCACGUCCAUUGCGAGCGCUCACAGGCGUCGGCCAUGACAGUUACAUCCGGGUAUGAUGCCUAGCCACGGCCUGAGGCUCCGGAAGUGACGUGACGCGGAAGGAUACGCGCUCGACCGAGGGCGGCUGAGGUGAAGAGGCCUCCGGAAGUGGGUGCAAUCGGACUCUGCUGAUGGGACCCCGGCAGUAGGAGGAGCGUGGCCCAUUACACAAGGCCAGUCACUGAGCUCAAAGCCAACCAUGCUGUGCCUUGUUCAAUAAUCGGAGAGACAGAAGCUGUUAUUUUCAUUUCAUAUGUAUUGAGAAACUAAGACCGAGCGAGGGCCAGGGACUUCUCUAAGCCCAUAACCAGGAGUAUUUGACCUAAACUGAAUUCUGUGUUCUUCGUGAUGACUCCCUUUUUGGAAAAAUUAAAUUCCUACCCCUUGUCAUCAUAGAUUGUUGCCCCUGCAAGCCUUUCUUAAGCAUAGUAGCCCAAGCAGUGGUACCUCGACACACCCGUGAUUUUAAUCAAAGAUCAAAUUUUUUAUUCCGGCUUCAUUGGGGGAUAUAGCAUUUUCCUGUACUGGGGAACAAACCUUGGGAAACUGUAGUUUUAAGCAAUUUAUUUCAGACUCAGCACAAUAAAACUUUUGUCUUCUAUCAGCA